GUCCACGCUGUAAACGAUGAGUGCUAGAUGUAGGGGUUUUAUACUUCUGUGUCGCAGCUAACGCGUUAAGCACUCCGCCUGGGGACUACGGUCGCAAGACUAAAACUCAAAGGAAUUGACGGGGACCCGCACAAGCGGUGGAGCAUGUGGUUUAAUUCGAUGCAACGCGAAAACCUUACCACUCCUUGACAUGAAGGUCAUACGCUUCUUAAGGGAAGCGGUCAUUUAGUUGGACCUUACACAGGUGCUGCAUGGCUGUCGU
rnacentral:rRNA from 1 species